AACGCACAUUGCGCCCCUGGGAAUUCCCAGGGGCAUGCCUGUUCGAGCGUCCGUAACAACCUCUCAAGCCUAGCUUGGUAUUGGGACUCGCUGCCUCUGGCGGCGGUCCUCAAAAGCAGUGGCGAGCCCACGUAACUCUCCGCGUAGUAAUACAUCUCGCGACAGAGAAGCAGCGGGAAUUGCCAAAACUCCUUAAUUGCUCAGGUUGACCUCGAAUCAGGUAGGGAUACCCGCUGAACUUAA
rnacentral:misc_RNA from 1 species